AUUGAACGCUGGCGGCAGGCCUAACACAUGCAAGUCGAACGAGUGGCGGACGGGUGAGUAAUGUCUGGGAAACUGCCCGAUGGAGGGGGAUAACUACUGGAAACGGUAGCUAAUACCGCAUACCAUCGGAUGUGCCCCGAUGGGAUGAGCUAGUAGGUGGGGGAAAGGCUCACCUAGGCGACGAGCCCUACCUGGUCUGAGAGGCUGACCAGACACACCGUAACUGAGAAACGGUCCAGACUCCUCCGGGAGGAAGCAGUGGGGAAGAUUGCACAAGGGGCGCAAGCCUGAUGCAGCAAUGCCGCGUGUAUGAAGAAGGCCUUCGGGUUGUAAAGUACUUUCAGCGAGGAGGCGUUACUCGCAGAAGAAGCACCGGCUAACUCCGUGCCAGCAGCCGCGGUAAUAC
rnacentral:rRNA from 1 species